UACGUAGGUGACCAGCGUUGUCCGGAUUUACUGGGCGUAAAGGGCGCGUAGGCGGCCCGUCAAGUCCCGUGUGAAAGCCCCCGGCUCAACCGGGGAACGGCGCGGGAAACUAGCAGGCUUGAGUUCGGGAGAGGGAAGCGGAAUUCCGGGUGUAGCGGUGAAAUGCGCAGAUAUCCGGAGGAACACCGGUGGCGAAGGCGGCUUCCUGGACCGACACUGACGCUGAGGCGCGAAAGCUAGGGGAGCAAACGGG
rnacentral:rRNA from 1 species